GAUGAACGCUAGCGGCAGGCCUAAUACAUGCAAGUCGGACGGGAUUGAGAAGCUUGCUUUUCAUGAGAGUGGCGCACGGGUGCGUAACACGUAUGUAACCUACCUUAAUCAGGGGGAUAGCCUCUCGAAAGAGAGAUUAACACCGCAUAAAAUCAAUUUAUGGCAUCAUAGAAUGAUCAAAUAUUUAUAGGAUUAAGAUGGGCAUGCGGAACAUUAGCUGGUUGGUAAGGUAACGGCUUACCAAGGCUACGAUGUUUAGGAGAUCUGAGAGGAUGACCCCCCACACUGGAACUGAGACACGGACCAGACUCCUACGGGAGGCAGCAGUAAGGAAUAUUGGUCAAUGGGCGCAAGCCUGAACCAGCCAUGCCGCGUGCAGGAAGACGGCCCUACGGGUUGUAAACUGCUUUUGUACCGGAAUAAACCUUUGUAUGUAUACGAAGCUGAAUGUACGGUAAGAAUAAGGAUCGGCUAACUCCGUGCCAGCAGCCGCGGUAA
rnacentral:rRNA from 1 species